AAGGUAGCGAAAUCAUUUGUUCUUUUAUUGAGAACUUGUAUGAAUGGGGUUUUAAUUUUUCUUUUUUAUUUGUUUUUUUUUUAAUUUGUUUUUCAUUUGAAAACUUUUUGAUGAUUUUUAAAAGACUAAAAGACCCUUGGAUUUUUAUUUAUAUGAAUUUUUUAAUUUUCUUUUAUUUAGGCUUUUUAUUUUUAUUUUUUUGAUUGGGGUAAUCUUUUAUUUUAAUUUAUAAAAAUAUGUUUUUUUGAUCUUUAUUUUUGCUUUUUGUUUAAAUACCCAAGGGUUAACAGCGUAAUUUGUUUGGUUAGUUCUUAUUAAUAAAUUUUAUUGCGACCUCGAUGUUGGUUUGUUUUACCUUUUUGAGGUAGAAUGUAAAUUAGGAAGUCUGUUCGACUUUUAAAAAAACACAUGAACUGAGUUCAAGUCGGCGUGAGCCAGA
rnacentral:rRNA from 1 species